UACGGAGGGAGCUAGCGUUGUUCGGAAUUACUGGGCGUAAAGCGCACGUAGGCGGCUUUUUAAGUCAGGGGUGAAAUCCCGGGGCUCAACCCCGGAACUGCCCUUGAUACUGGCGGUCUCGAGUCCGGGAGAGGUGAGUGGAACUGCGAGUGUAGAGGUGAAAUUCGUAGAUAUUCGCAAGAACACCAGUGGCGAAGGCGGCUCACUGGCCCGGUACUGACGCUGAGGUGCGAAAGCGUGGGGAGCAAACAGG
rnacentral:rRNA from 1 species